CAUCUUCUUCAUUAUUCGUUAUUCAACCAUCAAAACGCGAUCGAUCUGAGUGUGAGAAGCUUCAGCUAUGGCGUUCUUGAAGGGAAAGGCAGUUGUUACCAAAGUGGCAGCGUUGGCGAGAUUCGGUGUGCUUCCAGCUGCUAUGGUGGCUGCUCUCGUCUACUCUCCUCCUAAUUACGCUCAAAAACAAACCUCCGCCACCACCAAUUAGAUGGAACAGGUGCACGAGGGUAGCAUGAAGAAAAUCAGCAAUAUGUGAGAGUCCUUUAAUGAAGCAUGUUCUGUAAUAAAUUAGGUGAUUAGUUUUUGUUUUUGAAAUAUUAUGAUUGUCUUGGAGAGACCAUUUGUCUCAUUUGGAUUUUGUGGUAUUUCUCUUUGUUAAGCAUCACUAAAAAUAAUAACAAUCAAUGUACCUCCCCAUUUAUUAUCAAGAGAAAUGCUGGAUAAUGCAAUAUUUUUCGUUCGAA